rnacentral:rRNA from 1 species
AGUGAACGCUGGCGGUAGGCCUAACACAUGCAAGUCGAACGGCAGCACAGGAGAGCUUGCUCUCUGGGUGGCGAGUGGCGGACGGGUGAGGAAUACAUCGGAAUCUACUCUGUCGUGGGGGAUAACGUAGGGAGACUUACGCUAAUACCGCAUACGACCUACGGGUGAAAGCAGGGGACCUUCGGGCCUUGCGCGAUUGAAUGAGCCGAUGUCGGAUUAGCGAGUUGGCGGGGUAAAGGCCCACCAAGGCGACGAUCCGUAGCUGGUCUGAGAGGAUGAUCAGCCACACUGGAACUGAGACACGGUCCAGACUCCUACGGGAGGCAGCAGUGGGGAAUAUUGGACAAUGGGCGCAAGCCUGAUCCAGCCAUACCGCGUGGGUGAAGAAGGCCUUCGGGUUGUAAAGCCCUUUUGUUGGGAAAGAAAUCCAGCUGGCUAAUACCCGGUUGGGAUGACGGUACCCAAAGAAUAAGCACCGGCUAACUUCGUGCCAGCCGCCGCAGUAA